UGCACUAACUUUAAAUUCACAAAAGAAAUCUAAAAAAAAAAAACUAACACAUGUUGUCUUUUUUGCAGACCUGGUCAGAUCCAGGCAAGGCUCGGCGUUCUGCACAACCUCCUUUCAGCCAGCAGAGGACUCUGAGGCAUGCCUGGAUGAUUUCUUUGUCUGGAUUAGAACAGCAAGUGAAACGCCAGUGAAGGCUGCCAUUAAAGUGGUGAUGAAAUAACAGAUGAAAGCCCCAUUUUCCCCAAAGCCACCCUUGUCAACAUUUAACAUGUCUGAAAUUGAAAGAAGAAAUACAUUUUAACCGUUUGUUACUGUUUCUAUUAAACUUAUAUCACCCUCAACGCAAAACAAAGUAAGCUACCUUAGUAAGUAUAAAAAAAUGAGUUAGAUAAUAUUCUUCUGAGCAGAUCUUUAGCAUUGUUUUUCAGGAUGUUUGAGGGCUACUGAUGAGAGGUUUAACACACAGACUCAUGACUGGCAGGAAUACCAUCUUAAUUCUGUAGGGAAAAAGUUAUACAGCACAAACACGAUAAUUUUCAAAAAGUAGAAACUGGUUAAAAAGUUGUAAUUUAAUGUUAUUUUUCUUACAGAGUCAAAAUAAUACAUACAGUCUCAAAUAUACAUAUAACACCACUAAGAUUUGGGCAAGUAUCUUCAACAAGGUCCUAUAUUUCUGACAGCAUAUUUGACCACUCUUCUAGUUAACAUUGGUAGAGGAUUUCUUAUUUAUUUAUAGGCCCAAACUUCUCUUUUAAGCCUCAUGGUUUGUUUCCCUGCCCUGUUUCUCAUGCCUGUUGUAAAUAGUUUUUUUUUUUCAUUAUUAAAAUCUUGUACCUUCCA